rnacentral:rRNA from 1 species
GACGAACGCUGGCGGCGUGCUUAACACAUGCAAGUCGAACGGUGAAGCGCCUUCCUUUUUGGUUGGUGUGGAUGAGUGGCGAACGGGUGAGUAACACGUGAGUAACCUGCCCCCUUCUUCUGGAUAACCGCAUGAAAGUGUGGCUAAUACGGGAUAUUCUGGGUCUGUCGCAUGAUGGGUCUGGGAAAGAUAUUGUUUCGGUGGGGGAUGGGCUCGCGGCCUAUCAGCUUGUUGGUGGGGUGAUGGCCUACCAAGGCGGUGACGGGUAGCCGGCCUGAGAGGGUGGACGGUCACACUGGGACUGAGACACGGCCCAGACUCCUACGGGAGGCAGCAGUGGGGAAUAUUGCACAAUGGGCGCAAGCCUGAUGCAGCGACGCCGCGUGAGGGAUGGAGGCCUUCGGGUUGUGAACCUCUUUCGCCAGUGAAGCAGGCCUGCCUCGUUUGUGGGUGGGUUGACGGUAGCUGGAGAAGAAGCGCCGGCUAACUACGUG